UUGAAGAGCUGGGCAAGCAGACCGCCGACUUGUCGGAGAGCCGGAAAGCCAACGAUGUUCUUCAAUAGCAUCUGAGCAAAGCCAACUCCGUGUUGCGCGCCAAGGGGGAGGAGUGCAGCAAGCUCGCCACAGAGCGUGAUCUGCUGGCCACACAAUUGGCAGAGCAGAGGGACCUGCUUGCGAAUACGCAAAAGGAGGCGGAAGAGGCGGAAGCCUCCCUCCUGGGCGAGUUCGCGAGCGAGCGCUCCUCCUGGACUGACAAAGAGGCAAUGCUGGCCUCCGGCUUCCAUGAGAUUGAAGACAUUGUUGAUGACUUCUUUCCCGGGCAUUCGUAGGCUGCCAUCCAAGCCAUCAAGGCAGAUCGUGAAGGUCGGAGGGCGGAAGGCGCAGAGAUCACCGCCGACGCUCCCCGAACCCUUGAUGAGCAUAUCCUGAGCAUCGAGGCUUGCCUUCGGCCGACUCACCGGAUGCUGCGCUGGCUUCAACGUGUCGGCGCCCAGGCGAUUGCCGCCCUGUGG